UAAGCGUAGGUGGCAAGCGUUGUUCCGGAUUUAUUGGGUUUAAAGGGCGUGUAGGCGGUUUGCUAAGUCAUGUGUGAAAUCCCUCGGCUUAACCGAGGAACGACGCAUGAAACUGGCAAGCUAGAGUACCAAAGAGGGGGGUGGAAUUCCCGGUGUAGCGGUGAAAUGCGUAGAUAUCGUUUGGAACGCCAAUGGAGAAAUCAGGUUGCUGGGAGUGUGCUGACGCUGAGACACGAAAGCCA
rnacentral:rRNA from 1 species